rnacentral:tRNA from 8 species
GGGGGUAUAGCUCAGCUGGGAGAGCGCCUGCAUGGCAUGCAGGAGGUCAGCGGUUCGAUCCCGCUUAUCUCCACCA